GUAAGAAGUGCCUUUCGCCUCCUGCCAUGGUUCGGAGGCCCUCUCAGCCAUAUGGAACUCUAAGAAGAAAUUUCCCGACUUGUUUGUCUUCUUGGAAGAUUCCUCCUCAUGUCUCAAAAUCUUCCCAGUCAGAAGCUCUACUCAAUAUAACAAAUAAUGGAAUACACUUUGCUCCCCUGCAAACAUUUACAGAUGAGGAAAUGAUGAUAAAGAGUUCAGUUAAAAAAUUUGCUCAGGAACAAAUUGCACCUUUGGUUUCAACCAUGGAUGAAAAUUCGAAAAUGGAGAAAUCAGUAAUACAAGGAUUAUUUCAACAAGGGUUGAUGGGUAUUGAAGUUGACCCAGAAUAUGGAGGCACAGGAGCUUCAUUUUUAUCCACUGUGCUCGUGAUAGAGGAAUUAGCCAAAGUUGAUGCAUCCGUGGCUGUCUUUUGUGAGAUCCAGAACACACUAAUUAACACACUGAUUAGAAAACAUGGAACAGAAGAACAAAAGGCCACCUAUUUGCCUCAG
rnacentral:sRNA from 1 species